CAGGUCAAAAGGUGAGCUUCUGGAAAGCUACGGGGGCCUGGAAGGAUAAGUUCCAGAGUUCUGAGGGGCAACCCGACUUUCGGAAGGUCUCUUCUCACUCCAGAUGAAUUUUAGGAUUGAUUUCUCGAGAUCUAUGAGAGGCCGGGCAUUUAGCUCAGCAGCCUAAGCGCCUACCUGGCAAGUGGGAGGUCGAGAGUUCUAUCCUGGUACCCCCCCAAAAAAUUUCUUCAGGCAAUACCAUGAUAACUGACAUUAUGGAGUAUUUGUCACAUACCAAAGUGGUGUACUACUCAGCUAUAAAGAAGGAUUGCAUCAAGACUUUUAUAGGUCUUUAUAUAUCAUCCAUCCCAGUAAUGUUUUCUUCCACAAGCUUGAUACCCCUCAACCUCUCUUCAUAGUGCAUACUUUCCUGACCUCCCACAAUCUUAGUUACUGUGCUACCAGAUACCAAGUUUUCAUCGUGGACAACAUCGCUGUACUUAUUUCUGAUUUGAUUUUUUUCUAGAGCCUCAUUUAUUUUCUUUGUUGUUACCACUUCAGAGGACGCCAGGAAAAUUCUACGUUGUACAACAAAAGCUAGUCUCCAACUCCUGGGCUCAAGUGAUCCUCCUGUCUCAGCAUCCCAAGUAGCUGAGAGUAUAUGUUGGUAAGUCACUUCACAAUUAUUGUUCUCAAAAUAAAAAUGUUAGAAUAAAAGAAAACAAAAGUACAUCACAAAAAAACUAAUGUUGCUUAAUUCUGACAUACAUAAGCUCACUUAGAUUUCAUACCUACCAUAUGAAGUAAAUAUUCCUGUCCCUUCUAAAGAUUUCAGAAGCUAAAGCAUCCCCUCUACUAAUGAUCUGCAUUCUGUCAGAACCUAGGUUGCCCUAAUGUUCCCCUAGUAAUUUCCAAAUCCUAAAAAUGUUUUGAUAUUGUGAGCUUUUACAACAAUUCCAAUUUUUAAUUAAAGAGCUUAAUUUUUCUGACUUGCAGGACCUCUUGUUGAGCUUUUAAAAACUGAUAACAUAACUAAAUAUCAGAACACAGAUUUUUCAUUCUCAAGGCCCUGGGUUCAAUCCUUAACACACACACACACACACACACACACACACUGAUACUUGGUCCGUCUGAUUUAGGAUGUGGAAAUUCAAAACAGGUGCUGUUCAAAGAGCAACCAAAAAUUCAAAAGUUGUUAACAUCCUUUUAGGUAAAAAUCAAGUUGUAACUUUUUGGGAACAAGUGAAAAGGAAAUGAGCACUAUGGAAUGCUUAAUAAAUUCCAGAUAUUGUGCUAAACACUAUUUUUACACCUUCUUUAUGACAUUUUAAAAGUGAACACCUGAUUGGGGAUUUAGCUCAGCAGCUCAAACACUUGCCUGGUAACUGAAAGGUCAUGAGUUUGAUCCUCGGUACCAAAAAAAAGAACACUUUUUCUGAAAUGUUUCUAUAAAUUAUGAUCUUUUAAAAGUUAUUUUUAGGCCAGAGGUACAGAACCUGCCUGGCAAGCGCAAGGUCCUGAGUUUGAUUCCUGGUACCAAAAAAAAGUCAUUUUUGAAAAUUCACUCCAUUGUAAAUACCGGCUGAGCUGGGAAUACAGCUCAGUGAACAGAGCACUUCUGGUAAGCCCUGCUGGGUUCCAUCCUCAGCACUGCAAUAAAUAAAUGAAUGAAUAAGUGAGAGUAAAGGCAGUGAGCCUUUGCUUUCUGCUGUGUGUAUGGGGGAUUGAAUCCGGGACCUUCCUCACUGAGCUAUGUCCCCUGACCUUUAUUAUUUUUAUUUUUAUUCUUAUUUUUGAGACUAAUUCUCACUAACUUCUAAAUUGCCCAGGGUGGGCUGCAUUUUAUUAUCCUCCUGCCUCAGCCUCCCAAAGUGCUGGGAUUACAGCCAUGUAUCACCACAAUCAUCUCAGCUUAUAUUUUUAAAACAUUAAAUUUUCUCCCACAUCAAAAAAGAAAUGUUCAACUUAAUUAUACCUAAUGAUAUAGGCAAUUUUUUUAAGGAAUCAAGUGGCAUUAUGGUAACCAUUGUUGAUAACCUUGUACUCUGUUUUUACAUCAUGUACUAUGUCUAUCCUUGGAUUUGACUGACAGCUUUGUUUUGCCAUACUUGACUUUAUUCUCUUCCAAAAAAAAAGUAAUAAGAACUAAGGAGUAAUAAAACCCAAAAGGUGUAAAUGUUGUUGUAAAAAAAAGAGGGAAAAAAGUGCUCUAAAGAUUACAACUGCAAGUGUGUUUAGGUGUGUUAGGAUAGAUGACCAUAUUACGGAGUUUUUGUUGGAUCAUUGAACAGAACUGUUUGCAGUCUCACUGUUUGAAUGUCUACUUUGUAUGCUUUGAUCCUGUGACUUGAGCAACUAUUUCUAAGAUGACAAUGUGUAAUCUAUUAACCGGUGAUUUCUUACUUAUUUUUUUUUUUUUUUGGAGUCCUGUAUUGUACCCUUACACUGUUUUGUCUUGUUUUGUUUUGGUUUUUCUUUUUUUUUCCUUUUAAAUAAAAAAAAUGCUUUUUAACAUAAAUGUGCAUAACUUAAAGGGCUGAAUCUACAUGUGAUCUUAGCUAAAAGGCCAAGAAGUGACAAAGGGCUGAAUCUAGUUCUGAACUGGCUGUCUUAUAACUGACAUCUUUCCAGUGUAAUAAAUUAUAUCAACUACGUCUUGAGAACAAAGGAAAGGGUUUUGGAAGUUUUUUAUAUAAAAAUUCCAAGUUCCUCAAUGUCUAGUACACAUAAAGGUCAAAGGGUGGCUCAUGAUUACACUGUUUUUCUUUUGACUAGAUAAAUCAAAGGACCGCUCUAGCAUUACAGUUUUAAAUCCACAAAUCCAGAUGUCCAAUUCAGGGAAGCUGCCUUCCAGCCUGAAAUCUGUACUUCAAAGCUGCCUUAUCUCCACAAGGACUCUCUCCUCUUUCCCUCUCUUCAAAUACUGACUUCCUCCUUUUCUCCCUUUCUUCUCCUUUUCCUUUCUUUUUUUGUAAAACUCCUCAGAAUUUCAAGAUGUUGCAGAAAGUUCUCUGCACUAAAGUUCUGCUGAUCCCUAUUGGCACCCAUGAGCUGCUUCUGGAAUUCCUUUUUAGCCACUAGAAAAAGGAGUCAGUGAGAGACCACUGAAGCUUAAAGUAUUGGCUGGGUAAGACUCAGGACGCCGAGCUGAUGUCCAAAACCACCCCAUCCUCCACUAGAUUACCAAGGCAGUCCUGGCUUGAUCACGGAGAGUCCAGGGCCUGCGCCCGACCAGGUGUCCCUCCAUGCUACCAGGAUCAGGCACUAGUCUCAGCCCCAUGUAGCUGCGACACGCAAAACAAAGGCCAAAUGAAUGGCCAUUACAGUUUCCAACUGGCCAAGCUGCAGCAUCCAGGGAAGAUUUGAAACGUCUGGCUUGCUCAGCAGCCACACAACUGACAGAUCUCAGGUAACUAUAUCUGAGGCUUCUGAUGACCAGACGUCCCCAGCAGGGUGCCAGCAGUUAGAAAGCUCUGCUGUGGAUGUCCAAGACACGUUAUUAAAAAUAAAAUAGGCAUCUUAGUGAAUCUUAUUGCCUUCAAAGUAGUUGCCUAUACCCUCAAACUUGAUACUAUCACACAGAAUGGAACAGAGUCUAAUCAGUCAAAACAAGAUCGUGGGAGUAUUACAGGACUUCAAAACAAGUUAAUAGGAAAUCAAAAAGAGUUACUAUUAUAUAUCCUAAUUUUUUAAAUUUUUCCCUUAAUUAAAAUAAACAUAAGAAAUAACUAAAUAAUUUUUUUAAAGAAUAGUAGUUACCAUAGUGUCUGUCUUUUUCCUUGAAAUAUUUGGAUAAAACUUCAUAUACUAUAGCUUCAAAUAUUUCCAUCCUUGGUUUUGACUGACAGCUUUGUUUUGCCAUAUUUGACUUUAUUCUCUCCCCCCCCAAGAAAGUAAUAAGAACUAAGGAGUAAUAAAAUCCAAAAUGUGUAAAUUUUGUUGUAAAAAAGAGAGGGAGGAAAAAAAAAAGAGCUCUAACGGAUAUAACAGCAAGUGUGUUUAGGGGUGUUAAAUAGCUGACUAUAUUAAUGUUUUUGGAUCAUUGAACACAGCUGUUUGCAGUCUCUCUGUUUGAAUGUCUACUUUCUAUUCUUUGAUACUGUGAUUUGAGCAACUAUUUCCAAGAUGAUAAUAUGUAAUCUAUUAACGGGUGAUUUCUUACUGUUAUGUUUUUCUUUUUUUGUAGUUCUG